UGUCAGGGGUUCAGGGAGAGAGGCACAGGGUAGGCAGGAGAUGGAGAGCGAUGGGGAGGAAUUCCAAGCCAGCGAGGAAGAGGAUGACAAUGACUCAAGAGAUUCCAUGAGUCUUUCCAGCGAAUCAGAGGAUUCCCAGAAGGGGGCGCCGGUGGUCAAGGCCAGGGGAGCCCCAGGGGGGAAGUGUCAGGAGCAGGGUGCCAGCGGAGGAUCCCAAAGUGGCAGCUGGGCGUCAGGACCAGCCUCCCCACCAGAGUGCAGCGAAGGGGGUGGAGUUUCCAGUGUGUCAGAGGAAGCAGCUCCAGCAGCAGAGAAAGGAGGGGGGGUCAGAGCAAGCCGCCCUCCCGGAAGGGGAGGGGAGCAGUGAAGGGAGUAGUGUAACUGUC